rnacentral:rRNA from 1 species
AUUGAACGCUGGCGGCAGGCUUAACACAUGCAAGUCGAACGAGGGGCGGACGGGGGAGAAAUGUCGGGGAAACUGCUUGAGGGAGGGGGUUACUAAGUGAAAACGUUAGCAAAUCCCCCAUACCAAGAAUGGUGCCCAGAUGGGAUUAGUUAGUAGGUGGGGUAAUGGCUAACCAAGCCGACGAUCCCGAGCUGGUCUGAGAGGAUGACCAGCAACACUGGAACUGAGACACGGUCCAGACUCCUACGGGAGGCAGCAGUGGGGAAUAUUGCGCAAUGGGCGCAAGCCUGAUGCAGCCAUGCCGCGUGAAUGAAGAAGGCCUUCGGGUUGUAAAGCACUUUCGGCGGGGAGGCGUUACUUGCAGAAGAAGCACCGGCUAACUCCGUGCCAGCAGCCGCGGUAAUAC